GGGGUUGUAGCUCAGUGGUAGAGUGCUUGCCUAGCACAUGCAAGGCCCUGGGUUCCAUCCUCAGCACCACA
rnacentral:tRNA from 1 species